CGUUGAUAGGCAGGGUGUGUAAGCGCUGUGAGGCGUUGAGCUAACCUGUACUAAUUGCCCGUGAGGCUUAACCAUACAACACCCAAAGGGUUUUG
rnacentral:rRNA from 1 species